rnacentral:rRNA from 1 species
AGGCCUAACACAUGCAAGUCGAACGGUAACAGAAAGCAGCUUGCUGCUUUGCUGACGAGUGGCGGACGGGUGAGUAAUGUCUGGGAAACUGCCCGAUGGAGGGGGAUAACUACUGGAAACGGUAGCUAAUACCGCAUAACGUCGCAAGACCAAAGAGGGGGACCUUCGGGCCUCUUGCCAUCGGAUGUGCCCAGAUGGGAUUAGCUAGUAGGUGGGGUAAAGGCUCACCUAGGCGACGAUCCCUAGCUGGUCUGAGAGGAUGACCAGCCACACUGGAACUGAGACACGGUCCAGACUCCUACGGGAGGCAGCAGUGGGGAAUAUUGCACAAUGGGCGCAAGCCUGAUGCAGCCAUGCCGCGUGUAUGAAGAAGGCCUUCGGGUUGUAAAGUACUUUCAGCGGGGAGGAAGGGAGUAAAGUUAAUACCUUUGCUCAUUGACGUUACCCGCAGAAGAAGCACCGGCUAACUCCGUGCCAGCAGCCGCGGUAAUACGGAGGGUGCAAGCGUUAAUCGGAAUUACUGGGCGUAAAGCGCACGCAGGCGGUUUGUUAAGUCAGAUGUGAAAUCCCCGGGCUCAACCUGGGAACUGCAUCUGAUACUGGCAAGCUUGAGUCUCGUAGAGGGGGGUAGAAUUCCAGGUGUACCGGUGAAAUGCGUAGAGAUCUGGAGGAAUACCGGUGGCGAAGGCGGCCCCCUGGACGAAGACUGACGCUCAGGUGCGAAAGCGUGGGGAGCAAACAGGAUUAGAUACCCUGGUAGUCCACGCCGUAAACGAUGUCGACUUGGAGGUUGUGCCCUUGAGGCGUGGCUUCCGGAGUUAACGCGUUAAGUCGACCGCCUGGGGAGUACGGCCACAAGGUUAAAACUCAAAUGAAUUGACGGGGGCCCGCACAAGCGGUGGGGCAUGUGGUUUAAUUCGAUGCAACGCGAAGAACCUUACCUGGUCUUGACAUCCACGGAAGUUUUCAGAGAUGAGAAUGUGCCUUCGGGAACCGUGAGACAGGUGCUGCAUGGCUGUCGUCAGCUCGUGUUGUGAAAUGUUGGGUUAAGUCCCGCAACGAGCGCAACCCUUAUCCUUUGUUGCCAGCGGUCCGGCCGGGAACUCAAAGGAGACUGCCAGUGAUAAACUGGAGGAAGGUGGGGAUGACGUCAAGUCAUCAUGGCCCUUACGACCAGGGCUACACACGUGCUACAAUGGCGCAUACAAAGAGAAGCGACCUCGCGAGAGCAAGCGGACCUCAUAAAGUGCGUCGUAGUCCGGAUUGGAGUCUGCAACUCGACUCCAUGAAGUCGGAAUCGCUAGUAAUCGUGGAUCAGAAUGCCACGGUGAAUACGUUCCCGGGCCUUGUACACACCGCCCGUCACACCAUGGGAGUGGGUUGCAAAAGAAGUAGGUAGCUUAACCUUCGGGAGGGCGCUUACCACUUUGUGAUUCAUGACUGGGGUGAAAU